GAUGAACGCUGGCGGCGUGCCUAAUACAUGCAAGUCGAGCGAACAGACGAGGAGCUUGCUCCUCUGACGUUAGCGGCGGACGGGUGAGUAACACGUGGAUACCCUACCUAUAAGACUGGGAUAACUUCGGGAAACCGGCGCUAAUACCGGAUAAUAUAUUGAACCGCAUGGUUCAAUAGUGAAAGACGGUUUUGCUGUCACUUAUAGAUGGAUCCGCGCCGCAUUAGCUAGUUGGUAAGGUAACGGCUUACCAAGGCAACGAUGCGUAGCCGACCUGAGAGGGUGAUCGGCCACACUGGAACUGAGACACGGUCCAGACUCCUACGGGAGGCAGCAGUAGGGAAUCUUCCGCAAUGGGCGAAAGCCUGACGGAGCAACGCCGCGUGAGUGAUGAAGGUCUUCGGAUCGUAAAACUCUGUUAUUAGGGAAGAACAAAUGUGUAAGUAACUAUGCACGUCUUGACGGUACCUAAUCAGAAAGCCACGGCUAACUACGUG
rnacentral:rRNA from 1 species